GGAAAGUAUUGAAUUGAUGAGAAAGAGAAUCAAUAAUAAUAGACAACCAAUAAUUAUUUAUUAAUAAAAUUAUAUUUCAAUUUUUUAUCAUUUCAAUGGGCUAUGUCAGUUGGAGCAAAAGAUUUGACAGAAAUGUCGGCACUCUAAAAAUACCUUAAAAUUUUUGAAAGAAUGGAACUGAAUUUUCUACAUUUUCCAUUGCCCACCGACUGCACCUAUCUUGGGUACCUUCUCGAAUUGCCAUCUCUCCUCAAUGUCAAUGGAGUCUCUUUAAUCUGCCUUGCAAUAUAGAAAACAAGAAACCACACGCCCAAAGCCGACCAGUUCAACAUCAAAUUGUAUUCCAUCUCUACUGCUUCCGUUUCUUUGCUUCUUUCAGGCGUUUUCACAAAUGGAAGAGGACAGUGCUAUGACUGUCUACAAUGGCAGCGCCAUUACAGAUGCCAAGAAGAACCCAUUUUCCAUCAAGGUAGGUUUAGCUCA
rnacentral:misc_RNA from 1 species